AACGAACGCUGGCGGCAGGCUUAACACAUGCAAGUCGAACGAGAUCUUCGGAUCUAGUGGCAGACGGGUGAGGAACACGUGGGAACAUCCCUUUCAGUUCGGAAUAACGUUGGGAAACUAACGCUAAUACCGGAUACGUCCUUCGGGAGAAAGAUUUAUCGCUGAAAGAUUGGCCCGCGUCUGAUCAGCUAGUUGGUGAGGUAAUGGCUCACCAAGGCUACGAUCAGUAGCUGAUCUGGGAGGAUGAUCAGCCACAUUGGGACUGAGACACGGCCCAAACUCCUACGGGAGGCAGCAGUGGGGAAUAUUGGACAAUGGGCGCAAGCCUGAUCCAGCCAUGCCGCGUGAGUGAUGAAGGCCUUCGGGUUGUAAAGCUCUUUUAUCCGGGAAGAUAAUGACUGUACCAGAAGAAUAAGCCCCGGCAAACUUCGUGCCAGCCGCCGCCGUAA
rnacentral:rRNA from 1 species